UGUAAAGAAAUAAUUAUGAAGUCCAUCCUUCAAAAAUAUAUGUUCUUCUUCUUGUCUUCGCUAGUAUCACUUUCUUUGCCUGACGCGAAUAAAGUGGAGAUCUCACCAAGAGAACAAGCAGCACUUGGUCAGGAAACCCAUUAAGAGGUUUGUCUUUUAAUCUUAUCAUAGUUUCUCUCUUAAGCUUUUCAAAUUGAAAAUUUAACCAACAAUGCAAGAACUGUUUUAUGUUUGUAAUUUUAAAUUUUCAAAACAACUUGUAUUCUGUUUGGUUUUGGUUUUGGUUUCACGGAAAAGAUUUAGGCUAGAAUUUUAAUCCUCAGAUACGUGUUUUUAAAAUAUUCAAUGUUGGUUGGAUUUUUUAGUUUCUGAAGCAGUUGACAACUUGUAUGACCCACCACCUGUUUGAUGUUUUUCCC
rnacentral:lncRNA from 1 species